GUUCAUCUUUGAUUUUUCAACUUCUAGAGGAGGAAUUCAAGUUGUAUUUGUCAAAUGAUAAACCACCUUACAAAAUCUAUAAAUAGGCCUUAGGAUGUGUUCAUUAUAUAUGUAAGUAUAUUUUAAUGAACUAAGUGAGGAUUUGUGAUAGAUAGAGUUUGUUCUUUUGAGAGAGAGAGAGAUAGAGUUUGAAAUUCUUUGUAACUCCUAUUUGAAACUCAUCUUGUAAACCUCUGUUCUUAUUUCUUAGUAGAGUCGCAUUAUUCCUUAGUGAAAUCUAUAUCCAAGUUUUGCUAUUUUCAUUAUCCUGGGCAAAUUCUUACCUAACAAGUAAAAUAAACUUACCAUACUUACCACUGCUAUAGAAGAAACAUAUUUGCUAUUUCGGUUUACAGUUCAUUUGUUUUUGGAACAAUUUAUAGGCUGUAGCACAGAGACUAGAGUUCAAUGGACUGAGUGAUUAAUAUUUCAAUGUACACAUGACUGAUAAUAGGCAGUAUUCUUGUCUGAUACCAUGUGCGUAUUAGUAUCUUGAGGUGAAGAAUAUAUCUUCUAAACUUGUGUAUAUUGAAAGUUCAUACUUGACAGGGUAUAAAACUCUAGAAGAGCUUGCCUCUUUCUUUGUGUUCUUGUGCUUUUAUGUGUGCCUUUCGGUCUAGACCCAUGAUGAUAUUUCAUACCAUACCGGUGCUUUCUCUGAUUGAUCGGGCAAGCUUCCUUAUCUGAUUGGCAAUCUAAUAUUCUGCUGCUUCAUUUUGCUUCCGUAGCAUUUUGCUACCAUUAUUUGACAGUUGGAAUGUAGUGUUCGAAGUUAUGUAGUGCAUCUGUUAUGGCUCAUUGGCUUAUUUAUUUGCCAAUAUCAAUGCAGAUAAACCACAAUGCAUGAAUGAUAACAAUAAAAUGAGUGAGGAUAUGUUGAUACCCAAUCAGCCUAUAUAAGCAAAAUUUGAAACUCUUUAAGAACUUAGAUAAUUACUGUAAGUGUGAUGCACCAAUGUGGAAUGCAAGCUCAAGGCAUCAGAUCAUAUUGACUUUAGAGUGUUUUGGGAAAAGAAAUCAUUCCCUUUUCCAAUUCUCCGUGAGCCACCAAGAAUACAUAGUUCUACUCAAGUUUAUGACAUUAAGUGAAGAUUUUCUACAAAAGCUCUUCCUAAUGUUUGAAUAGCUUAUAGAUCAAGUAUCCUAGGAAAAUAAUGAAUGCUGUGUCUAGUUUGUGAAAAAUAGAUUCUGAAUUUUCGUGAGAAAAUUUUUAGUACUCUCAGAGUAUGAAACUUUUACGAUCUAAUUGACAUGUGUAUAUUUGCCACUAAUCAUUUUUUCGUUCAACUAACUUGUGAUGCUUUUUGAGUGAACUUUGUUUGAAAAGUAUACAACCAUUCUGAGUAUGGGUUGAUAUGAGUAGUUUUUAGAAUUUUAAUUAUGUUAGUUUUAGGCAGUAUUCUAAAAACGCCCCCCUUGUGUUUUUUUUUUCCGC
rnacentral:lncRNA from 1 species